CUAACUCAAUUCGUAGUUUGAUGAUAAAAUAAGCUGAAGUUUUUCUUGUCAUUGUAAUCAUCAUUAUUCUACGAUUCCUGCGUUUCCUUCCUGUUGACUCGUUCGUUCGUUCACUCGGUCGUUCAUUCACUCAUAAAAUGUUUCGAGUUCGUGUGUGAGGCUUCUUGCGUAGCGCAUAAUUUCGUAUUUUUCAAUUGUUUUCAUUACUACACAAAGGAGAUCGCGUGCUGAUUAUAAUGAGUGGCCAAGUGAAGUGUUGUUUACAUUGUUUAUGAGUGUUCGAAGCGGUCUGUAUAUCGGACAAGGCAGCGAAGAUGUUCUCACACCGCUCGCACACAAAGGCUGCGUCCUUCACAUAUUAGCUAUUACAUCUAGCCAGACCGCCGUCGUUGUUUGAACAACUCGUUAUCUACACGGCGCUGAUAGUGCGAGGUGAUUAUACAAAUGCUAACGAUGCAUCGCAUUCAUGAAAAAUAACUUGAAACUGAUGACAUCUGACGCUAGAAAAAAAAGUGUGGAAGUUAAACCAAGGCUUAGAAUACCUAACUACUUCAAUUUUAAGGCGAAGGCCCUAAGGAAAGAUAUUAAUUUAGUAUCAGACAGAGGACGGAUUAAAAAGAAAUACAAGGAAAAAUUAAAGCUCGUUAAUGACAUCUUAAAAAGUGAACUUCUUAUUAGUGGCAGCGACACAGAAAAGAGUACAAUAUCAACCCUAUCAACAACAAGCAAAUUGCC